rnacentral:misc_RNA from 1 species
AAGUCGUAACAAGGUUUCCGUAGGUGAACCUGCGGAAGGAUCAUUAACACGUAUCCAAACGUUAAACAACCCCGUGAACAUACAACCUGCUCUGGUCGCCCGCUCGCAUGGACAAGCCCAGUAAAUCAAGCCCCGGAAAGUUUUUGAUUUGGGACCUCUGUGCGCGUGAGAAAAACUGACAGCGAUUCAUAGAAGCGGUAGGUCAAGUGACACGGCGUCCCCAAGUGACCAGUGAAUGAAAGUGUCGCUGGAGCGUCAGAUUGCUAGAGGUCGACCACCGACCGGCUUCCGUGUAUACCGAGCUAACACCGCUCCCUUCCACUUUAUUGCCUUGCCUGUACGUAUGGAUGGGCAGGCCCCCCGAACAACUGUUAACAAUGGAUAUCUUGGUUCUC